UACGUAGGGUGCGAGCGUUGUCCGGAAUUAUUGGGCGUAAAGGGCUCGUAGGCGGUUUGUCGCGUCGGGAGUGAAAUCCACUGGCUUAACUGGUGGCUUGCUUUCGAUACGGGCAGACUGGAGGUAUGCAGGGGAGACUGGAAUUCCUGGUGUAGCGGUGAAAUGCGCAGAUAUCAGGAGGAACACCGAUGGCGAAGGCAGGUCCCUGGGCAUUAACUGACGCUGAGGAGCGAAAGCAUGGGGAGCGAACAGG
rnacentral:rRNA from 1 species